UACGAGGGGUGCAAAUGUUGUUCGGAAUCAUUGGGCGUAAAGAGCUCGUAGGCGGUUGCUCAAGUCGAAUGUGAAAACUCGGGGCUCAACCUCGAGCCUGCAUUCGAUACUGGGCGGCUAGAGUCUGGUAGGGGGAUCUGGAAUUCCUGGUGUAGCGGUGGAAUGCGCAGAUAUCAGGAGGAACACCGGUGGCGAAGGCGGGAUCCUGGGCCAGUACUGACGCUGAGGAGCGAAAGCGUGGGGAGCAAACAGG
rnacentral:rRNA from 1 species